rnacentral:rRNA from 1 species
GAUGAACGCUGGCGGCGCGCCUAACACAUGCAAGUCGAACGGCACCCCUCCUCGGAGGGCAGCGAGUGGCGAACGGCUGAGUAACACGUGGAGAACCUGCCCCCUCCCCCGGGAUAGCCGCCCGAAAGGACGGGUAAUACCGGAUACCCCGGGGUGCCGCAUGGCACCCCGGCUAAAGCCCCGACGGGGGGGGAUGGCUCCGCGGCCCAUCAGGUAGACGGCGGGGUGACGGCCCACCGUGCCGACAACGGGUAGCCGGGUUGAGAGACCGACCGGCCAGAUUGGGACUGAGACACGGCCCAGACUCCUACGGGAGGCAGCAGUGGGGAAUCUUGCGCAAUGGGGGGAACCCUGACGCAGCGACGCCGCGUGCGGGACGGAGGCCUUCGGGUCGUAAACCGCUUUCAGCAGGGAAGAGUCAAGACUGUACCUGCAGAAGAAGCCCCGGCUAACUACGUG